UACGUAGGGGGCUAGCGUUGUCCGGAAUCAUUGGGCGUAAAGAGCGUGUAGGCGGCCCGGUAAGUCCGCUGUGAAAGUCGGGGGCUCAACCCUCGAAUGCCGGUGGAUACUGUCGGGCUAGAGUGCGGAAGAGGCGAGUGGAAUUCCUGGUGUAGCGGUGAAAUGCGCAGAUAUCAGGAGGAACACCUGUGGUGUAGACAGCUUACUGGACCACUUCUGACGCUGAGACACGAAAGCGUGGGUAGCAAACAGG
rnacentral:rRNA from 1 species